UGCGUAGGUGGUGGGGAAAGUCUGAUGUGAAAUCUCCGAGCUUAACUCGGAAACUGCAUUGGAAACUACCUCGCUCGAGGGUUGGAGGGGGGACGUGGAAUACUUGGUGUAGCAGUGAAAUGCGUAGAUAUCAAGUGGAACACCAGUGGCGAAGGCGAGUCCCUGGACAACUCCUGACACUGGGGCACGAAAGCUAGGGGAGCAAACA
rnacentral:rRNA from 1 species